AUGAGUUUGAGUGAACUCCGGGAGUUGGUGAUGGACAGGGAGGCCUGGUGUGUUGCCAUUCGUGGCAUCGCAAAGAGUUGGACAUGACUGAGUGACUGAAUUGAACUGAACUGAACAUAUAUCAAAUUAUAGGGCAAGCCUAUUAAAUCAUUUUUUAGUCCUUUAUUGUGGUUUUAUACUGAAUCCCUUUACUGUCCUCUCAACAAAUGGGUAUGACAGGCCCCUUACCAUCCAUAAAACUUGAUGCCAAGUGAUGUCAUUUAACUAGUUGGCACAUCUCUCCUGAAUGUUCGGUUUUCCAGAAAUGAUAUUUUCUGGGUUUUUCUUUUGAUUUUUAAUUGUUGUGUGUUUUUCUUUCUUUCUUUUUUGAAGUUUUAAGAGCUACCAUCUUGUAUGAGAGCAAAGUUAAGCGUAAUUAUUACUGAGAAAUCUGGUUUAUGUAUAAAUUCUAACAGUUAAAAAAAUUUUAAGCAAGCAAUGCAUGAUUAACAAAAAUCUUGAUAAUCAAGUAUGUCUGCAUAUCUGGUGCUAGAACAGUUCUCAAAAGCCUGGUUGGUACCUUUUAAUUUUUGUUAAAACUCAUUUAUAGCAUUCAUAUGGCUUUUACCUGUGCAACUGUUAGGAUAUACAUGGCUGAGUCAUUUAAAAGUCUUUGCAAAUGUAAAUAAUCAUAGUUUAUAAUAUAAAAUAAUCAAUACUAAUAGAUUAAAAUAUAAAAUACAAUACUUUUAAUACUAAAAGAUCACAUAAAAUUGUAUAAAACCAACUAAUUGAUUUUUCUUUAUGAUUGAAUGACAUGGACUUUAUUUUUCUGUAUUUUACUGAAUUAAGCUAAAUUAAAAUAUAUACAUUACCCACUUUUGUUUAACCUCUAAAGUUUGUGAAAACAUUACAGUAACAUUUAUACACAAUAAUAAAGAAUUGAAAAAAAUUUAGCGAUCAUUUUGUCUAGGCCUACAAGUUUGAAAUUUCUUUGAUGACAUCCCUGAAACUGCCUGAUAAAUCAGCCUCUACUUGAGAAACCUUAGGGACUUCAAGGACUCAAGACACUGUCCCUACUUUUCUUAGCCCUUCUUCUCCAUGGCCGGAAAUCAUGGCUCUUGAACACUGUCUCUUUGACCUUACUAGGUACUACCUCUGUUGGCCCAGACCCUAACAUCUUUAUACCCAGACAUAGUUGUAUCAUAAUAGGCUCUUACUCAUUGAUUUAAUAAACAUUACUUGAGAAUCUGCUAUGUUUCUAGCUCUGUUUUAAGAAUACAUUGGGAUUACAGAGGUGAACAAAAUACAUAUGAUAUAUCCUUGGAUAUUACUGGGUAAGAUAUACAUUGAAUAAGUCUAGAAAAUAUGAUAUCAUAAAGGGGAGGUUCAAGGAUCUACCACGUGAAAACAUGAUGGGCAACUGUGCUUAGUUUAGAAAGAUUUCUAGGAAGAGGUUACAUUUAAACUAAACACUGACAAAUGAUAUAUUAUUGGCUAUUCAAACCACUACAGUGCUACAGACAGGCAUCUCAGCAAAGAAUUAGUUUUGGGGGUUUUUGAUAUGUGUCUGAUACAGUACAGAUUAAAACCUCCACAAAGCAGAGUUAGGGUAGAAAGGGGGAACCUCUUUGAGUGUUCAGAAGCUACUUACUACCUAGAACUCUAGGAGUGCCACCCCCGACAAUAGCAGACAUUAUUCGGAUCACACAGAGUUUAAGCUUUGGGGGGCUGAGAGAUCAGAGAGGUUUCCCAGUUGUUGGAAUGAUUCUUAUGAUUUUGGAAUUCACAACUGGGCCUUUAAUUUCUAUUUUUUCCUCCUCAUUUCUGCCCACCCUUCUCUAAAAGCAUUGAAUGACACUUGAGAUAUGUGUUUUGGAACAGUCUUACAAUAGUUAGGAUGGUUUUAAUUUUAUACAGCAGAAAAAUACCGACUCAGUUGGCUUAAAAAAAAAAAAUGAGAGACUUGAAGUGGGAUGUUCCAGAGUUGUUUAAUUCAGUACAAAAACAGCAUCAGUCUUUUCUUUCUUCUGUCCUUUUAAGUAUGUUUGCCUCAUUUCAUUCUUGGGUCAGCUUUCUUCAGAGUCACUAAAUAUCAGAAGAAACCCAAGGUGAGGGGUAGACACAUACUCAUUUUUCUCAGGUUUCUGUUCUUUAAAGUGAGUAAUGCCUUUAUCCAAAGUUCUUUGGCAAACCAUAUCUUUGAGGCUCACUGGCCAGAAUCAUUUUAUGUUCCACAUUUAAACCAGUCCUUGGGAAGGCUUUCAACCAGUCUGGGCCUAGUGCCAUCUUUGAAGGCCUUGAAACAGAAUAGCAUUGGGGUAGGAAGACCAUUGACAUGCAUGGCUGCUACAAACAUGUUCAGAUAAUUGGAGUAUAAUCUAUAUCAGAACUACUCAAAGCAAUAGUAGCAACAUUCAGUUAUUAGAAAUGCAAAUUCUCCUCACACUACACCCAGAAUCAGAAUCUCUGGGCACUUGCCCAGAAAUCUAUGUUUUAACAAGCCCUCCAGGUGAUCUGUAUGCAUAUUAAGGUUUUAGAAGUCCUAUUGAAACAGGAACUUGGAACCUUUAGGCUUUCUUCUUGAGCACUUUCAUUAGCUUUAGCUACUCAAAAAAAGUACUUCAGCUUGGCUUUUUAAGAUGUGCCUGGCUUGGGAAUUUGUAUUUCUUUUCCAUCAAGUGAAAAUCCCACCAAAUGGAGAAGAGAAGUGAUAUAAUUAGAGUUGCAGUUUUAGGGGAACAAAUCCAUUCUGCCUGGUAUCACCAGAUUAGAGUGGCAGAUGGGUUGACUAGUUAGAAAACUAUUGUCAUCAUGACCAGGAGAGUGAAAUUAAGGUCGCAGCAAUAGGAAUUAAAAGCAAUGAAUGGAAUGGUAGUGAUUCAGUUAAGUUUGGUAUUGGAUUUGGGUGUAAUGUGAAGAAGGACAAGCCAACUGUGGCUGAGGUUUCUAGGUCACCUACCAGUGAUUAGCAGAAUGUCAAUGCCAUGGAGGCCAUGGCAGGGAGAUGAAUUUAGUUUAGAUGAUGAGUUUGGUUUCCAUGUUGAGUUUGAGGUACCCAACUUGGUGUCCAGGUGCAAAAGGUCUAGAAGGUGGUAGGGAAUGUUAACCUGGAGCUCAGGAAAAAAGAUCAGGAUGAGAGGCAUGUACUUAGGAGUUAUCAGUAAGGAGAUCAAUAAGGGAACGAAUAAGGGGGGAAAUAGUCUGGCAACAGAAUCUUUAGAAACCCAGAGAGUAGGAGAAGAAAGGAGGAGCCAGUUACGGAAAUUGAGGCAUGGUUAUAAUAAAAGAGAGGAGAUGAUGUAUGAUAAUACUGGGUAGCUGAAUCCAUAGAAGAAGAGUUUUUUUAGGAGGAAUAUUCACAAACAGCUGAGUUUAAAGGACUGCAGUAAGAGCCCAGGAGAGGCUGGUUAGCUUUAAGUAGGUCAUAAAUCUAGUCAGCAUAUAUCCUCAGCUUUGUGCGUGCGUGCUAAGUCACUUCAGUCGUGUCUGACUCUGUAUGACCCCAUGGACUGUAGCCCGCCAGGGUCCUCUAUCCAUGGGAUUUUCCAGGCAAGAAUACUGGAGUGGGUUGCCAUGCCCUCCUCCAGGGGAUCUUCCCAACCCAGAGAUCAAACCCGUGUCCCUUGCGUCUAAACUGUAUUGGCAGGUGGGUUCUUUAAUACUAGAGCCACGUAGGAAGCCCAUCCUCAGCUUUAUUCAUGCUUAUUUUUGGUUGCCAUUGCAUGCUUAGAGUUUUAUGCUUAUUUGGAUCGCAGGUCAUUUCCUGAUUUAAGUGAGCUCGCCGGUUCUAUGACUUUGGGUACCUUUCCUUAUGCAUUUUCAAGGAAGGUUAGGACUAAUUAGAUCUGAGUGAUAGGAGGUGGCCUGGGAGGGAGGGUUCCUCACCUUCCUUGCCCUUGGUGUUCUCUCUGGCCUGCUCCCUGUGAAGCUAGCUUUCUGCUUUGAAAUGUGAAGUUGUUUUGUCUGUGUCUGUAUCAGAAUGUCAGGGGAAGGGUAUUGUGUAUACUUCUUAGUUGCUGAAAUGGAUAAAAUAACAGAAUUAAGAAACAAAAACAAUAAUUUGUUUGAUUGAAUAUCUCAUACUUCUCAGUUCUGUUGCUUUCCUCCUCCCCUUUUCCUCCCUUUCC